CGGCAUGCAGGUUGUCCCCCAGUGCGGGCACCUUAGAGCAUCUCCAGUAGUACCCCUAAACCCCCAAAUCUGUAAAAAUAUAACUGCUUUUUUACAGUUUGGACAGAAAAAAGUGCGUAGACUAGACCCCUUUAACUACUUUAAGAGUUUGAGGAUUUGAGGGUUCUACUAGACAUGCUCUAACCUGCAUCCUGGCACUCCUUGUUGUUCACCUGCAGUUCAGAGGAAGUGCACCCUAACCGCAACAGAGGAAUUCACUUGUCGUGGUGAGGGCAUUGUUCCGUCGAGAUUCAGUUUGCGGGCGUUCUGCCGCCAGGGGUUAGUUCAGUCAGUGCGCCAGCGAUGGUGCUCGAGCGCCGCGUGCAGCUCGGUUGCGACCCCCAUGCAGUCCGGCUGAGUCGCUGGUGGUGCAGUUUGUAGAUGGUGGACACACAGACAGCGACUGACUUGUUUGCAUUAUUCAGAUUUUGUUUUGUACUAGUUCAGUACAGCAGAAAUCCUCCGCAUGUGUAGUUUUUUUCUGAGGGAAAGUAGUGCACUUCCUUCUCGAGACUACCUACACCUCUUCGGGGCGACCGUGCAGUUUGGUGCAUUUUUAUUUGCAGUGCAUUUCGCUUUGGGCGUCAG
rnacentral:lncRNA from 1 species